ensembl:lncRNA
GGAGAAGACACAGGGUUCACACCACUCUGGGCUCAUUUAAGGGCAAGCCUCCAUAGGGAGACUAUCUCUUGGUUGAAGGCUGUGUCCUGAGGAGUGAGUGUUCUAUUGCCAGAGACCCUCAUCAACAGCUGGGUUCCCAGUACCAGACAGAAAGCAAAAAUGUUCACGUCAAAAAACAAUGUGAGAAGGACAGAAGCAGAGGAACAGGCUGACAAAAUGGUAUCCUGACCUGGAAGUGCAGAUGAAGCAAGGGGUUGUCAUUGAAUUCCUCCAAGUGGAAAAAAUGGCACCCAUUGAUAUUCACUGGUGCUUAAAUGAUGCACUGAUGUUAAACGUUUGUGGAGACAAAGCAUUGGAUGUGAGUACAGCCAGGUGGUGGGGAGUGUAUUUCAGCAGCGGUGACAGCGAUGUGAAAGACAAUUUGUGUUCCAGUUUACAUACGUUGUGAUGCUGAUGAAGCUGAAGGUUUGAACUUCCAGCAUGAGGCCAGAGAAGAAGACAUCCUUCCUAUUGCAACUCAGUAAUGCCAGGCCUCAUACCAAUUUGAAGAUCAUUGCCAAUCUUGGCUGGACUGCACUACCACAUCCACCAUACAGUCUGGAUUUGGUGCCCUCUGACUUUCCUCUGUUCAGGCUGAUGAAAGAUGGACUGCGUGGUCAACAUUUUCCUAGCAGCAAUACUAUCAUAGCAUCUCUGAAACAGUGGGUCACUUCCAUUACGGUGUAUUUUUUAUGAUAACAGCAUGUAGGCUUAUGUUCACCACUGGCAAAAAUGCAUAGCUUAAUGGUGGUGAAUCUGCUAGAAAAUCUUGUUUUGUAGCUGAGAAUCUGCCCUAUCAAAUAGUGUUAUUGUACUCUUUGUAUCAGUUGUGGUUUCCAUGGAAAUAAAUACGAGCUAUUACUUUCAGAGUGACCAACGUGUAAACAUUUAAAAAAAAUACUGAAGCCUUCAGUCGUUGGCAUUUAACCUCUUGUCAGCAAGAAUAGCAUAUCUACUGCUUCUCAGUUCCAUAGCCUUGAUAGUUUCUGGUCUCUGUCAUCCUGAGAUUCUGCGAAACAAUUCUUUAUGCUAAUUAUACCUUGAUAUAAGAUGCUGCUAGUUUGGAGUAGUGAUUUCAUUUUCAUUUAUGGAAAUGAGCAUGUGAGAUCAAGAGAAAAGGCAAAGUCCUCCGAAGGAGGGGUAGUGUAGAAGAAUAGACUCCUCACAAGAACUCCAACAUUAUUUCUUCCUAUUUUUUUUUUUUCUAGAAGCAGCUAUCAUGGUUACAGCUAGACGGUAUUUAGAAAGAGGAUUUAAAAUAAAUAUUUUAUUUCCCCUGGAAUUACUGAAGAAGCAUUGAAUUACUUUUCAAAGUAGUUCAACGUGGUUAGGUUGUUUCAUUUUUUCUGAAUGUGUGAGGCUGUUUCUGCUUGGAAUGCAGCAUCUCUUUC